rnacentral:RNase_P_RNA from 1 species
GAGGAAAGUCCGGGCUCUAAUUAGAGAAAUAUAGCUGUAUAAAAAAACAGUGUAGGUGACUAUGAGGAUAGUGCCACAGAAAUAAACCGCUUGAAUGCAAUUUUAAGUAAGGGUGCAAAGGUAUGGUAAGAGCGUACCAGAAAUAUAUUUAUAAUAUUUGCUAGGUAAACCCCUUAAUAGAGCAAAGUAAUUAGUGUUUAUGAUCAUAUUCUCUAUUAUUGAUUAUAAUUAAGAAUAUAAGCUACUGAUUUUUUUAAACUGCAAGAAGUAAUACUUCUAUAUGCUUGAGAUUAAUAAUUACCCUUUUUAUGCGAUAUAAGUAUUUGUAUAAUUAAGAACAAAACCCGGCUUAU